AUCUAAAAUACCAACACUGCUAUUGGUAUUGGAUACUAGAUAGACAGAUAGAUUUUUUGCAGAUCUAUUUAUUACAUCAGAAAUUAGGAAAAUGGAAAAAUACACUCAGUCUUGUUUCCUCAAAUUUAGACAGUGGAAAUUCCCUGCUUCAAAUCAUUUCACAGUGUAACGGGUACUUAAGGAACACAGAGGAGACACAUACACACAGUAGCAUCAGCAGAAAGAGAAACAUUCAAUGUUGCAGUGCACUGCAAAGAAUUACUCAGCUACAUGUUAACAGUCAGAACAGGGACCACAAGCAUUUUAAGUCAUUCUCAGUCCAGUCCUUGGAGCUAACCAUGUUCAGAGGUAAACAUGUUCAUGUUUGUUUUGUUUAACCCAUUAAAACUGACCUAUGAAUCAUUCAAGCACAAAAGCUUCUAAGAAUGUAUAACAAUCAUACCCAUCCCUCCACAGGUCCUCAAGGUAUGUUUUCACCAUCAUCAAAAUGCCAUCAAACCACACCCAGAAA